rnacentral:lncRNA from 1 species
CCGAGUUUAAAAAGAUGAUACUGAAGAGAAUUCAAGUUUUUUCGACCUCUAACGAGGCGCUUCCUUUAAACAUCUCGAGGCAGAACAGAGUCUUUGAAGUGGGCGAAAAGGUUUACCCAAGGAAUAACAAAAGACUAGGGAACAAGCUAACCCCGCUGUACUCAGAAGAACGGGUACAAGCGGACCUUGGAACGGCAGUUCUAAUUAAGGGGAGGGUGGUCCAUAAGGACAAUCUGAAAUAAUUCAAACUUUUGUUUUACAGAUUUAAGGUAUCAUUCCCGCAGGUUUGACGGAAUACUCUUCCUACUCCCUUCUACUACAACUGCGCGGAUCACCGCCUUUUAUACCGUUAAAAUGUUGGAGUUGUUCCCACAUUCAGAUAUAGAACAUAAAAAAAUCCGUUGUCCGCUUUAAUGAUACAUGGCCAGAAGCCUAGACUUCCUGAUAACAGCAUUAAAGGUCGUAGCAAGUACCCCCGACGAGUUGGGCUUCGAAAAAAUAGCAGCUUGUAGAAUCAUAGACUGAUUAACUGAGUACUGAUUAACACAGAGGCACAGAAACAGGAUGCUAAUUUCGGUAGUCCAAAUCUCAUGAUUACGAUCACACUUGCCAAAGCGAAUAUCCCACUAAGACCUAAAAUCUAUUUUUACCGAACAGCUCACAGAGGUCCCAGUAGCUUAUUUGUUGGGAGUAUGUAAGAAUAUAAGAAUUUUUCAUUUCAUAUUUAAGUAGAAUACUCCCAGGUUAAAAUUAUCUUUAUGUCGCGAAGUACACGCCGGCGGCUCUGCUUCAUGACGCACGCAACCCAGCCACCUGGCCACCACCAUCCUGUNUUUGCUAACGCGAGCGGGAGCGGCAUUGAACCUGCGCAGCAGAACAAUCAGAUACGGAAACGUUACUGAAAAACUUAGGUUCCACAACUGUGACAAUGUAAAUUUCACCAAAGUCGAUGACCUGGUGGUCCCAGGCUCGGUAAAAUCCGAGUUUAAAAAGAUGAUACUGAAGAGAAUUAAAGUUUUUUCGACCUCUAACGAGGCGCUUCCCUUUAACACCUCAGUCGUCGCCACCAUCCGAACUGUGAAUGACGAACCAGUCUACUCGAAAUUAUACCCCUACCCUAUGGGAGCAGCAGACUUCGUUAACAAAGAAGUCAAAGAAUUCUUGAAGGACGGCAUAAUCAGGCCAUCUAGGUCGCCAUAAAACAGCCCAAUUUGGGUUGUAGACAAAAUGAAAUCUGACGCCAACGGCAACAGGAAAAAGCGUCUGGUAUUGCCGAUCGAUACCCUAUGCCGAGCAUACCCAUGAUUCUAGCGAACUUGGGAAAGGCAAGAUUUUUUACUACCCUAGAUCUAAAAUCAGGGUACCACCAGAUAUACAUGGCGGAAAAAGACCGCCAAAGACAAAGUUCUUUAAAGAAAGCGUAGAGUUCUGAGGCUUCAUAGUUACCAAGGGAGGAGCCAAGACCGACCCAGAAAAAGUAAGAGUAAUAAAGGAAUACACUGAACCCAAAACACUGUUCAGCCUCAGGUCCUUCCUCGGGCUGGCCAGCUAUUACAGGAGCUUUGUCAGAGAUUUCGCGACAAUAGCGAGACCCUUAACCGCAUUACUCAAAGGAGAAAAUGGCACAGUCAGCAAACACAUGUCCAAGAAAGUUGCGAUUCAGUUCGGUGAAACGCAACGCAACGCAUUCGACCGUCUGCGAAACAUUUUGGCGUCAGAGGACGUCAUCCUUACGUACCCUGAUUUCAAACUACCCUUUGAUCUAACUACCGAUGCCUCAGCAAGCGGCAUUGGGGCGGUCCUGUCCCAAAACGGCAGGCCAAUCACAAUGAUCUCGCGAACACUAAAAGAUUGUGAAGUAAACUACGCCACAAACGAAAGGGAAUUGUUGGCAAUUGUAUGGGCUAUAGGGAAGUUACAAAAUUACUUAUACGGUACCAAGUAAGUAAGAAUCUUUACCGAUCACCAGCCCUUAACAUUUGCUGUGUCCGAUAGGAACACAAAUGCCAAAAUCAAACGGUGGAAAGCCUUUAUAGAGGAACAUAACGCUAAGGUGUUCUACAAACCGGGUAAGGAAAACUUCGUGGCCGACGCCUUGUCCAGACAAAACAUUAAUAACCUACACGAAGAGCCUCAGUCCGAUGCUGCCACGGUGCACAGCGAGCUCUCUCUGUCUUACACAGUGGAAACCACGGAUAAGCCCCUCAACUGUUUCAGAAACCAAAUAAUUCUAGAAGAAGCUAGCCAGCCUCUACGGCGAAACUUCAUAAUUUUCGGCGGAAAAACCCGCCACAUUAUUCACUUCAACGAUAAGGACUCACUAAUUAAGUCAGUAAAGGAGGUGGUCAAUUCCAAGGUCGUGAAUGCAAUCCACUGUGAUCUUCCGACUUUAGCUACCCUCCAACAUGCUCUGGUGCUGGAGUUUCCCGCAACCAAGUUCUGGCAUUGCAAAAACUUCGUGAACGAUAUCACAGAUGCAAGCGAGCAGGCUGAAAUAAUUACAGCCGAACACAAUCGCGCCCAUAGGGCAGCCCAAGAAAAUGUUAAGCAGGUCCUUCGUGACUACUAUUUCCCGAAAAUGACCAAACUUGCUAACGAGGUGGUUAUGAACUGCAGAGUCUGCACCAAGGCAAAGUAUAACAGACACCAAAAAAAACAAGAGCUGGGGGUCACCCCUGUUCCGUCAUACGCCGGAGAAAUGCUGCACAUUGAUAUAUUCUCCACAGACAAGAAACUUUUUUUGACCUGCAUCGACAAGUUCUCAAAGUUUGCCAUCGUACAGCCCCUCUCUUCCAGGGCUAUAGUAGAGGUACGAGCCCCCAUUAUACAAUUGAUAAAUUUUUACCCGAAUACCAAGACCAUAUAUUGUGACAAUGAGCCUUCCUUCAACUCCGAAACAAUUACCUCUUUGCUUAAAAACCAAUAUGGCAUCGACAUCGUAAAUGCACCCCCUCUACAGAGUAGCUCCAACGGGCAAGUAGAGAGAUAGCAAGGUGCAUAAAAAUCGACCAAAAGAUUGAGGACACCGUCGAGCUAAUCAUGCGCGCCACUGUUCUUAUGUUGUCCUGCGAUGUAAGCCAGUAUCUGGUCUUCGGACAUCUUCGUUAGGUACAUUCGUUGUUGCUAGACUUCAAUCGUUAAUCUUGGUCUUAACUAUUCCGUGUUUUCCGGUUAUAGCUGAGGUUUAACAUCUCGAGGCAGAACAGAGUCUUUGAAGUGGGUGAAAAGGUUUACCCAAGGAAUAACAAAAGAUUAGGGAACAAGCUAACCCCGCUGUACUCAGAAGAACGGGUACAAGCGGACCUUGGAACGGCAGUUCUAAUUAAGGGGAGGGUGGUCCAUAAGGACAAUCUGAAAUAAUUCAAACUUUUGUUUUACAGAUUUAAGGUAUUAUUCCCGCAGGUUUGACGGAAUACUCUUCCUUCCUCGUUAAAAUGUUGGAGUUGUUCCCACAUUCAGAUAUAGAACAUAAAAAAAUCCGUUGUCCGCUUUAACGAUACAUGGCCAGAAGCCUAGACUUCCUGAUAACAGCAUUAAAGGUCGUAGCAAGUACCCCCGACGAGUUGGGCUUCGAAAAAAUAGCAGCUUGUAGAAUCAAACAAUAGACUGAUUAACUGAGUACUGAUUAACACAGAGGCACAUAAACAGGAUGCUAAUUUCGGUAGUCCAAAUCUCAUGAUUACGAUCACACUUGCCAAAGCGAAUAUCCCAAUAAGACCUAAAAUCUAUUUUUACCGAACAGCUCACAGAGGUCCCAGUAGCUUAUUUGUUGGGAGUAUGUAAGAAUAUAAGAAUUUUUCAUUUCAUAUUUAAGUAGAAUACUCCCAGGUUAAAAUUAUCUUUAUGUCGCGAAGUACACGCCGGCGGCUCUGUUUCAUGACGCAUGCAACCCAGCCACCUGGCCACCACCAUCCUGUUGCAUCAAUGCUGUAGUAGUGGACGAUGGCAUAAUCAUCAUAAAUGGGCAGCGAGCAACGGUCAGCGUUGACAAUGGACCCCUAAGGACGACAAGAGAGGCCCACCUCAUCACGUUCGANUGAAAUAAUUCAAACUUUUGUUUUACAGAUUUAAGGUAUCAUUCCCGCAGGUUUGACGGAAUACUCUUCCUACUCCCUUCUACUACAACUGCGCGGAUCACCGCCUUUUAUACCGUUAAAAUGUUUGAGUUGUUCCCACAUUCAGAUAUAGAACAUAAAAAAAUCCGUUGUCCGCUUUAAUGAUACAUGGCCAGAAGCCUAGACUUCCUGAUAACAGCAUUAAAGGUCGUAGCAAGUACCCCCGACGAGUUGGGCUUCGAAAAAAUAGCAGCUUGUAGAAUCAUAGACUGAUUAACUGAGUACUGAUUAACACAGAGGCACAGAAACAGGAUGCUAAUUUCGGUAGUCCAAAUCUCAUGAUUACGAUCACACUUGCCAAAGCGAAUAUCCCACUAAGACCUAAAAUCUAUUUUUACCGAACAGCUCACAGAGGUCCCAGUAGCUUAUUUGUUGGGAGUAUGUAAGAAUAUAAGAAUUUUUCAUUUCAUAUUUAAGUAGAAUGCUCCCAGGUUAAAAUUAUCUUUAUGUCGCGAAGUACACGCCGGCGGCUCUGCUUCAUGACGCACGCAACCCAGCCACCUGGCCACCACCAUCCUGUUGCAUCAAUGCUGUAGUAGUGGACGAUGGCAUAAUCAUCAUAAAUGGGCAGCGAGCAACGGUCAGCGUUGACAAUGGACCCCUAAGGACGACAAGAGAGGCCCACCUCAUCACGUUCGAAGACAGAACCGUGAUCAACAGCACCCUGUUCUUAAACCUCAACAAAGCAUUGAGGAAAGUUCCAGGAAUCGUAGCUUCGCCUUUGCUGUCAAUAACGGGGCACGGUGAAAUCCUAAGCCUACCACGACUACAAUCGAUGAACGAGCACAAUCUAAGGGCCAUCCAAGAACUUAGAAGCGACAUGACAUCCGGUGGGUCACCCAAGACCUGGUUCAUUGCGGACAGCCUCAAGCUCUGUGGCCUUAUCCUGUUGCAUCAAUGCUGGAUUCGAAGCAACUCCUCAAUCAAGUUGCAAAAGGUCAUCAGAGAGAUAGGUAUCGCCGAGGACGGAGAUGAUUUAAGGGGGGAGUAGUUAACACAUAAGCAAUAACAUGGGACACCCUAACUUAGCGCACAAGAAAUGUGAAAUAUCAUGUGCCGCCCUAACUUAUCCAGUCCGAUACGGAGGGCGCCGAUGCAGUAGAUGCCGUUGCAGCGGGCGGCUCUGUUAUCUGAUUGGGCGCCAGCGAUCGCAUGAUCUUGUUUAUGCGUAGGCGGCUCUUAUCUCUUGUGAGCGCGGACGGCUCGCCGGCUAUGUUUCGGUGUAGGUUUAGAAGUAAGCUUUAGUUUAGAAUUGGACGAAUAAAUGAACGGAGCGUUCACAUAAACUCCGACACGAGUCGUAAAACGUGCAUUGAUAUAAUCAUAUUGUUGAGCCUUAAGGGCCAACGAAAUAGAGGGCAAUUACCCUCUCAACAUAAUCUUCGGUAGAAGACUCAGUUGCCAACCGCAACCACCGUCCCCCGCUACAAGAGCGGGCCACGGGAACCCGAUCGCUGCCGUCGGAGCCAACGCAACGCAUACCGCAGCUCGGACCAAAAACGACAUAAAGUUAAUUUACAUGUGCGUGCGCUUCUAUGCACUAUGAGAGGGAGCGAUGAGCGCGACAAUAGAAAAUUAGUAUAAGAGAUUAUAAAGAGAGUAUGAACAUAAACAAGGAGAGCUGAUCCUAAUAAUCAUAAAGCAACUAUAUAAGGAGUUCUGGUCGGAAAAGAUUAUGGAAAAGUGCGAGUGAAAAGUGCGAGUGAAAGGGCUCUCGCUGUAAUCAUUUAAAAGCAAUGAUAGUAGUCAGUGUUUUGAAAGAAUAAACAUUUUGAAAAAUUUUGAAAAAAAAAUUCGCCCGCAACCAACUUUCCGCGUCGACAUGCAAACGAGCACUGAGAAUUAGGAAAAGCAGCGAGUAACUCUGCCACCGACGAGGCCUCCUUAUAUAGUUGCUUUAUGUUAAUAAUUAUGUUUUUGCUGCUGCUCCGAACAAGACGUUUGAACAAGACAUUUUUAUUACCGGUACUCGAAGAGUAAAUAGAGUAAAUUGUAUUUGUGCGAAUAACGGUUGUAUGUAACGCACAGAAGGAAGCGUUUCCGACCCCAUAAAGUAUAUAUAUUCUUGAUAGAGCCAUGUCUGUCUGUCCGUGUUGUUUGUCGGCUAGUUCUCAGAGACUAAAAGAGUUAGAGCCCCCAAAUUUUGGUUCCAGACUGCUCUAUGCUCACAGUGUAAACCAGUGUUUUCUUUUUAUACCCGGUACUUAAAGAGUAAAUAGGGUAUAUUGUAUUUGUGCGAAUAAC